rnacentral:lncRNA from 1 species
UAAUAAUAAUAAAUAAUAACAAAAAAUUCAGAUUCCUAAGAGAGCUUAAAGUGUAAUGAAGGAUAGGAGGAGAAGCAUAAGUAAAGGCUAUAUGAGAAUAGGUACAUAAGAAUGGGUUGAUAGAAACCAAGGUUGAAUAGAGUCUCUAACAAAGGCAAAAAUUGUGACACUGAGUUGUAUGUUAGAGAGGCAUGGUUAACAGGAUGGACUGCCCAGAUCCCUUUGCUGCCAUCUGUAGGACAGAGUAUACAUCAUAAAAUCUGAAAAAGAGAGUAUUCCUUGUAACAGAACCUAUUAUUGCCAUCUCUUACUCAUAGGGAUAGGUUCCCAGAAAGGUAUAUAAAACUGAGAAAUAGGGAACAUGGGAUGCAAUUAAUCUACCAAUAGAUAUGAUGCAUUUUUCAGAAUAUAUUUUAAGACAGAAGACAAAUUUUCUAUCACUUUGAAUAAUAUCAUGCAUAGAUAAGACUAUGAAGCACAAAAAUGUGGCCAAAGUACUCUAAAGCUUGUUAGACCUGUCAUAUAAUCCUGAGAAACUGAUAGAUUAUCAACACAUUAUACUAAAUCUUAAUAUUUUAUAGUCAGUGAAACAAAUGCUACGUUGUAAUCUAAAGUAUAAAAUAUACAUCUUAUAUAAGUUGCCUAUAUGUAGUGGUUCUGAAGGUGCCAAAGAAUUUAUAUCUACCAUAACUUUUUUUGCUCAGUCUCAGCAACCUCUAGAAGAUCUUGAUGCUCAGUUGAAACGAACACUUAGUCCAGAGACUCUUACAGUGACAUCUGCAAGUGGUCCUGUGUCCGUGGUGGCUCCAACAGCAGCUACAGAAGCAGGAGCACAGCCUCAGAAGGAUGGUGAGACACAUCCUUCUUUUGAUAUUACUACUCCCCAGUUCUACGUAUAGUUGAUAAUAAAGUUUACUGCUUCAAAGACAGUCUUGAGAGUGUUGGUACUUUUGAGACUAUUAGAACAUCUUUAUGUGUUUCAUGACUGAGGAGCAUUGAUGAUAUCUAAAGCAUGAAACAUGAGCCAGUUAAUGAGUCUUACUGGAGCGAGAGAACUGUUAUACAUGUGUUAAUGAUAGUUUCUUAGUGUAAGACCUUUUGUUAUUAUCUAGGCAAGUUCCUUUCUAUAAGAAAUUAGGAAGUUCUAGCAUAUUUAUAAAAGUCAAUUUACUGGUACACUUUUGUGACACUGGAUAGGUAUAUAAAGAUCAAGUGGAAAAGCCUGGACAUUAUAUUUGUACAGAGAUCCAAAUGUAAGAUUUUAAUCAAUUUGAGUGUUUUUUCAAAACAACUGUGAAUUGGCUCUCUUUUUUUUUGUACCAGGGAUUAUUGAACUCAGGUCCUUGUACUUGCGGGGCAGGCAGCGGAACCACUAAGCUAAACCCACAGCCCUUGACUCUCUCAUUUUACAGUAAAAUAAAUACCUUACAAAUCAGUAGAAUAUACUAGAAAGUCUAGAAAUGGACAAAAUAAAGGAAAAUAUGGAUUGUGAAAGCAUAUUAUAGAACUUAAAUACAUACAAUAAAAUUGAUAAAUUUUACACCAAAUAAAAGGUAAUGUAGGCUUAUGAAAAAGGUGGCCUGUUAAAUUGUAGGAUAAGAUAUUUCAAUAAAUAGGAUAGUGGGCCAGGGGUGGGGCUUAGCAUUGUUUUAAUUUGCAUUUCU